rnacentral:rRNA from 1 species
GUGGGGAAUAUUGGACAAUGGGCGAAAGCCUGAUCCAGCCAUGCCGCGUGUGUGAAGAAGGUCUUCGGAUUGUAAAGCACUUUAAGUUGGGAGGAAGGGCAGUAAGUUAAUACCUUGCUGUUUUGACGUUACCGACAGAAUAAGCACCGGCUAACUUCGUGCCAGCAGCCGCGGUAAUACGAAGGGUGCAAGCGUUAAUCGGAAUUACUGGGCGUAAAGCGCGCGUAGGUGGUUUUGUAAGUUGGAGGUGAAAUCCACGGGCUCAACCUGGGAACUGCCUCCAAAACUGCAUGACUAGAGUACGGUAGAGGGUAGUGGAAUUUCCUGUGUAGCGGUGAAAUGCGUAGAUAUAGGAAGGAACACCAGUGGCGAAGGCGACUACCUGGACUGAUACUGACACUGAGGUGCGAAAGCGUGGGGAGCAAACAGGAUUAGAUACCCCUGUAGUCC